GCAGCCGCCGCGGGAAUACAGAGGGUGCGAGCGUUAAUCGGAUUUACUGGGCGUAAAGCGUGCGUAGGCGGCUUUUUAAGUCGGAUGUGAAAUCCCUGAGCUUAACUUAGGAAUUGCAUUCGAUACUGGGAAGCUAGAGUAUGGGAGAGGAUGGUAGAAUUCCAGGUGUAGCGGUGAAAUGCGUAGAGAUCUGGAGGAAUACCGAUGGCGAAGGCAGCCAUCUGGCCUAAUACUGACGCUGAGGUACGAAAGCAUGGGGAGCAAACAGGAUUAGAUACCCCCGUAGUCCCUGUCUCUUAUAA
rnacentral:rRNA from 1 species